GCCUGAUCAGAUUUAAUAUUGUGAACAAAGCUCUUUUUAGCCUUACUACCUAGACACUUUAUUUUUGUGGAGACAAGUAAUCCUAGUUCGAAUCCUCACUUUAUACCGUUCUGUCUAUUUAGCGUUUCCCUGGGGUUUUGUAUUCAUGCAUGAUGGAAUCAGACGAAUUGUUUAGCGAUGGAGCUGUUGGUGAUUCAAUGCAGCUUUCAAGACGUGAAAGCGAGAGAAACGGUAACAAUUCCAAAGUAAAUUACGGGUAUAAAGAAGAAAGAACUAUUCAACAAGAGCUAAUGGAAAAUUUAGGUAUUUGGUUGCAUCCUGCAUUCAGUUGUCACGUAUCCU